GNANUGGAGGAACUCUGAUGCAGCGACGCCGCGUGAGCGAUGAAGCCCUUCGGGGUGUAAAGCUCUUUCGGCAGGGAAGAUGAUGACGGUACCUGCAGAAGCAGCUGCGGCUAACUACGUGCCAGCAGCCGCGGUAAUACGUAGGCAGCAAGUGUUGUUCGGAGUUACUGGGCGUAAAGGGUGCGUAGGCGGCCUUGUAAGUAUGGUGUGAAAUCUCCCGGCUCAACUGGGAGGGUGCGCUAUUAACUGCAGGGCUAGAGUGCGGGAGAGGAAAGUGGAAUUCCUGGUGUAGCGGUGAAAUGCGUAGAUAUCAGGAGGAACACCGGUGGUGUAAACGGCUUUCUGGACCGUAACUGACGCUGAGGCACGAAAGCGUGGGUAGCAAACAGGAUUAGAUACCCUGGUAGUCCACGCCCUAAACGAUGCAUAUUUGGUGUGGGCCAUUCAGUUGGUCCGUGCCGGAGCUAACGCGUUAAAUAUGCCGCCUGGGGAGUACAGUCGCAAGGCUGAAACUCAAAGAAAUUGACGGA
rnacentral:rRNA from 1 species